rnacentral:rRNA from 1 species
CCUACGGGAGGCAGCAGUGGGGAAUAUUGGACAAUGGGGGGAACCCUGAUCCAGCGACGCCGCGUGAGUGAAGAAGUAUUUCGGUAUGUAAAGCUCUAUCAGCAGGGAAGAAAAUGACGGUACCUGACUAAGAAGCGCCGUCUAACUACGUACCAGCAGCCGCGGUAAUGCGUGGGGGGGAAGCGUUAUCCGGAUUUACUGGGUGGAAAGGGAGCGUAGGCGGUGCAGCAAGUCUGAUGUGAAAGGUCGGGGCCCAACCCCGGGACUGCAUUGGAAACUGUUGAACUGGAGUACAGGAGAGGUAAGCGGAAUUCCUAGUGUAGCGGUGAAAUGCGUAGAUAUUAGGAGGAACACCAGUGGCGAAGGCAGCUUACUAAACUGUGACUGACAUUGAUGCUCGAAAGUGUGGGUAUCAAACAGGAUUAGAUACCCGGGUAGUC